AGUGAACGCUGGCGGUAGGCCUAACACAUGCAAGUCGAACGGCAGCACAGUAAGAGCUUGCUCUUACGGGUGGCGAGUGGCGGACGGGUGAGGAAUACAUCGGAAUCUACUUUUUCGUGGGGGAUGACGUAGGGAAACUUACGCUAAUACCGCAUACGACCUACGGGUGAAAGCAGGGGAUCUUCGGACCUUGCGCGAUUGAAUGAGCCGAUGUCGGAUUAGCUAGUUGGCGGGGUAAGGGCCCACCAAGGCGACGAUCCGUAGCUGGUCUGAGAGGAUGAUCAGCCACACUGGAACUGAGACACGGUCCAGACUCCUACGGGAGGCAGCAGUGGGGAAUAUUGGACAAUGGGCGCAAGCCUGAUCCAGCCAUACCGCGUGGGUGAAGAAGGCCUUCGGGUUGUAAAGCCCUUUUGUUGGGAAAGAAAAGCAGCAGGUUAAUACCCCGCUGUUCUGACGGUACCCAAAGAAUAAGCACCGGCUAACUUCGUG
rnacentral:rRNA from 1 species